rnacentral:rRNA from 1 species
GAUUAUGGCUCAGGAUGAACGCUGGCGGCGUGCUUAACACAUGCAAGUCGAACGGAGUUUUUAACGGAAGUUUCGGAUGGAAGUUUAGAAACUUAGUGGCGGACGGGUGAGUAACGCGUGGGUAACCUGCCUCAUACAGGGGGAUAACAGUUAGAAAUGACUGCUAACACCGCAUAAUAUAGCGAAACCGCAUGAUUUUGCUAUCAAAUAUUUAUAGGUAUGAGAUGGGCCCGCGUCUGAUUAGCUAGUUGGUGGGGUAAAGGCCUACCAAGGCGACGAUCAGUAGCCGGCUUGAGAGAGUGACCGGCCACAUUGGGACUGAGACACGGCCCAAACUCCUACGGGAGGCAGCAGUGGGGAAUAUUGGACAAUGGGGGAAACCCUGAUCCAGCGAACCGCCGCGUGAGUGAAGAAGUAUUUCGGUAUGUAAAGCUCUAUCAGCAGGGAAGAUAAUGACAGUACCUGACUAAGAAGCCCCGGCUAACUACGUGCCAGCAGCCGC